GUCCACAGGAUUGCUGUGUCGGCCCUUUAGUGAGUGUCUGCGUUUCGUUCAAGUCUACGAGCACAGCCGUGUUCUAACCUCUCAGAGCAAUGUCAUGCUGGGGGUCCACUCCUCCCUGGCCAUGUGGUUUGCCCAGGAAUCACAGUGGGACCUGUUUAAGCACUAUUUCUCCAACGCUUGCAGUUGGUGAAAAGAACCAAUGCCUCGCUAUUUGGUGCACAUGGCUUUGUCCGAUUCCUAGAAUGCCAUGUGUUAAUGUUACAGAAAAUGCCAGAGGGUAUCUUCAUGCAUAUUCCUCUAGAGCUUCACAGCCAAACCCUUGAGGUACCUGUUUCUCAGCUGUCCUUUGACUAACACCUGAUUCACUUAGUUCUACCCUAUGGUGCUCUUUCUACCACCUGCAUCUCUUCCUUUUUUCCCUUUUACUGGCUCUGUUUCCCUUUACUCUUUGAAUCCUUUGUUUCUCCACCUAGAAAGUUUCUACCUACCUUAUGUAUCCUUCCCGAUAUUAUUGCAUCUAGUUCUGGACUGGGUUUCUUAACUUUCCACCUUUGCCAGCUGCUACCCAGUAUCAUUAAAAUAUUAACAUUUAGCCUUGCUCAAUGGACCUGUAGUCUAUGGUUCAGUCUAUAAUUUGAUACAGCUCCCUCCAGCCCUUCUGAGUCUAAAACACAUUCCAAUUCCUCUGUUUUCCAGGCUUAUUUUGCCAUCAGUAACUCCUUCCUGUUCCCCCAGCCAUGAGUGAAUAUGCUGAAUGAGGACCUUUGUAAGUUCUGAUGAAGUAGCAUGUUAGGAGAAUGAAGCACUAAUCCCAGAGCUAAUGGACCUUCCUUUCCUUUCAGUACUGUAAGGAGUUCUUCUCUCAAUGUGUGACCUGCCCUGUCUAUCACCAGUGGGUAUCUGAGCUUAAGGCCUCUGUAAUGAGAUGUGAAAAGAGAGAAUUGAUGUCCCUGACUAACAGCAUCAGACCUUUUGACACCUGCUUGACCAGGAUUUGGAUAAAAGGAGAAUUUCUG
rnacentral:lncRNA from 1 species